CCUACGGGAGGCAGCAGUGAGGAAUAUUGGUCAAUGGACGAGAGUCUGAACCAGCCAAGUAGCGUGAAGGAUGACUGCCCUAUGGGUUGUAAACUUCUUUUAUAUGGGAAUAAAACGUUCCACGUGUGGGAUUUUGUAUGUACCAUAUGAAUAAGGAUCGGCUAACUCCGUGCCAGCAGCCGCGGUAAUACGGAGGAUCCGAGCGUUAUCCGGAUUUAUUGGGUGUAAAGGGAGCGUAGGUGGAUUGUUAAGGCAGUUGUGAAAGUUUGCGGCUCAACCGUAAAAUUGCAGUUGAAACUGGCAGUCUUGAGUACAGUAGAGGUGGGCGGAAUUCGUGGUGUAGCGGUGAAAUGCUGAGAUAUCACGAAGAACUCCGAUUGCGAAGGCAGUUCACUGGACUGCAACUGACACUGAGGCUCGAAAGUGUGGGUAUCAAACAGGAUUAGAUACCCCAGUAGUC
rnacentral:rRNA from 1 species